GUGAGGAAUAUUGGUCAAUGGGCGGAAGCCUGAACCAGCCAUCCCGCGUGAAGGAAGGCGGCCCUAUGGGUUGUAAACUUCUUUAGUACAUGAAGAACAGGAUCUACGCGUAGGUUUAUGACGGUAAUGUACAAAAAAGCAUCGGCUAACUCCGUGCCAGCAGCCGCGGUAAUACGGAGGAUGCGAGCGUUAUCCGGAUUCAUUGGGUUUAAAGGGUACGUAGGUGGCCCUGUAAGUCAGUGGUGAAAAUCUGCCGCUUAACGGUAGGGGUGCCAAUGAUACUGCGGGGCUUGAGUACAGUUGAGGUAGGUGGAAUGUGUAGUGUAGCGGUGAAAUGCAUAGAUAUUACACAGAACUCCGAUUGCGAAGGCAUCUUACUAAGCUGAAACUGACACUGAUGUACGAAAGCGUGGGGAUCGAACAGGAUUAGAUACCCUAGUAGUCC
rnacentral:rRNA from 1 species